rnacentral:tRNA from 1 species
UCCCUGGUGGUUCAGUGGCUAAGACUCCGUACUCCCAGUGCGGGCUCCCAGGUUCAAUCCCUGAUCAGGGAA